UACAGAGGGUGCAAACGUUGCUCGGAAUUAUUGGGCGUAAAGCGCAUGUAGGCGGCAUAGUAAGUUCACUGUGAAAGCCCUUGGCUCAACCAAGGAAGUGCAGUGAAAACUGCUAAGCUCGAGUUCUGAAGAGGGUCGCGGAAUGGCCAGUGUAGAGGUGAAAUUCGUAGAUAUUGGCUAGAACACCAGUGGCGAAGGCGGCGACCUGGGAAGAUACUGACGCUGAGAUGCGAAAGCGUGGGGAGCAAACGGG
rnacentral:rRNA from 1 species